UACGUAGGGUGCAAGCGUUAAUCGGAAUUACUGGGCGUAAAGCGUGCGCAGGCGGUUAUGUAAGACAGGUGUGAAAUCCCCGGGCUUAACCUGGGAACUGCAUUUGUGACUGCAUAGCUAGAGUACGGUAGAGGGGGAUGGAAUUCCGCGUGUAGCAGUGAAAUGCGUAGAUAUGCGGAGGAACACCGAUGGCGAAGGCAAUCCCCUGGACCUGUACUGACGCUCAUGCACGAAAGCGUGGGGGAGCAAACAGGAUUA
rnacentral:rRNA from 1 species